ensembl:lncRNA
GUAGAUAGGACACGCCCCUUUGAGCUACGUGCUACGGUGAGGCUAAGCUAGUGGGAGCAAAGUUUCAGUGCAUUCCGUUGAUGUAGACGGAGUGAAAACGGAAACAACAAGUAUGCCGGCUCACUGUGCUGCAUACAGUUACACACUACGUCGUACGAUUGAGACAAGGAAACUUGGAAUGACUUUUCAUAGGUUUCCCAGAGACUAUGGGUUGAGGAGGAAUUGGAAGUUUGUCGGCUUAGACCUGGUGUCAUUCCAUCAGUGUUAAACUUCCCGGCUCAUCUUGGAAGAGUACGUGCCAGAAAGACCACGACCAAGCAGCCUUGAGAUCUUAGACAGCGUCUCCCUCAGGUGGGUGUCGACGGUGUUCACGGUCAGCCACCAAGCACUGGAACACAUCUCCAAAGUUCUGCCGGGCCAGCUCAGCUUCCCCUCAGAAGAAGUUCCACCAGAUGAAGGAGCCUUUUGAGAGGCAGCUGGCAUCGUGAUUUGACUGUACUUUGGUCUGUUCCAAUCCAGCUUCAGCUCCAGAGACGGCAGGCGGGACGAGUCAACGGAGGCCUGGUGGACGAAGGCAUGCAGCUGAGUACAAUCCAGAAAACAACAGAGGAGGAGUGCAGGGCCAGAACAAACAGAAUAGCAUCGUAUGUCUCUUAGAAAACAUCAUAGUAUAGCCUUUGGUAUGAAAAAAUGCCAUCAUAUACAUCGUAUAUUGUACAAAUAACAAGUCAAAGGAAAGAGACAUAAAUUGUAGAAUUGUAGUAAUU